rnacentral:rRNA from 1 species
UACGAAGGGGGCUAGCGUUGCUCGGAAUCACUGGGCGUAAAGGGUGCGUAGGCGGGUCUUUAAGUCAGGGGUGAAAUCCUGGAGCUCAACUCCAGAACUGCCUUUGAUACUGAAGAUCUUGAGUUCGGGAGAGGUGAGUGGAACUGCGAGUGUAGAGGUGAAAAUUCGUAGAUAUUCGCAAGAACACCAGUGGCGAAGGCGGCUCACUGGCCUGUUCUUGACGCUGAGGCGCGAAAGCUAGGGGAGCAAACGGGG